rnacentral:rRNA from 1 species
UGAACGCUGGCGGCGUGCCUAAUACAUGCAAGUCGAACGCACAGCGAAAGGUGCUUGCACCUUUCAAGUGAGUGGCGAACGGGUGAGUAACACGUGGAUAACCUACCUCAAGGUUGGGGAUAACAUUUGGAAACAGAUGCUAAUACCGAAUAAAACUUAGUAUCGCAUGAUACCAGGUUAAAAGGCGCUACGGCGUCACCUAGAGAUGGAUCCGCGGUGCAUUAGUUAGUUGGUGGGGUAAAGGCUUACCAAGACAAUGAUGCAUAGCCGAGUUGAGAGACUGAUCGGCCACAUUGGGACUGAGACACGGCCCAAACUCCUACGGGAGGCUGCAGUAGGGAAUCUUCCACAAUGGGCGAAAGCCUGAUGGAGCAACGCCGCGUGUGUGAUGAAGGCUUUCGGGUCGUAAAGCACUGUUGUAUGGGAAGAACAGCUAGAGUAGGGAAUGACUUUAGUUUGACGGUACCAUACCAGAAAGGGACGGCUAAAUACGUGCCAGCAGCCGCGGUAAUACGUAUGUCCCGAGCGUUAUCCGGAUUUAUUGGGCGUAAAGCGAGCGCAGACGGUUAAUUAAGUCUGAUGUGAAAGCCCGGAGCUCAACUCCGGAAAGGCAUUGGAAACUGGUUAACUUGAGUGCAGUAGAGGUAAGUGGAACUC